GACGAACGCUGGCGGCGUGCCUAAUACAUGCAAGUCGAACGCACUGGGGACGGGUGAGUAACACGUGGGUAACCUCCCAUCAGAGGGGAUAACACUUGGAAACAGGUGCUAAACCGCUACUGAUGGAUGUACCCGCGGUGCAUUAGCUAGUUGGUGAGGUAACGGCCCACCAAGGCCACGAUGCAUAGCCGACCGGAGAGGAUGAACAGCCACACUGGAACUGAGACACGGCCCAGACUCCUACGUGAGGCAGCAGUAGGGAAUCUUCGGCAAUGGACGAAAGUCUGAGCGAGCAACGCCGCGUGAGUGAAGAAGGUUUUCGGGUGGUAAAACUCUGUUGUUAGGGAAGCGGUAUCUAACCAGAAAGCCACGGCUAACUACGUGCCAGCAGCCGCGGGAAUUC
rnacentral:rRNA from 1 species